AUUGAACGCUGGCGGAAUGCUUUACACAUGCAAGUCGAACGGCAGCACGGACUUCGGUCUGGUGGCGAGUGGCGAACGGGUGAGUAAUAUAUCGGAACGAAUCCAAUAAUGGGGGAUAACUAGUCGAAAGAUUGGCUAAUACCGCAUACGCCCUACGGGGGAAAGCAGGGGAUCUUCGGACCUUGCGUUAAUGGAGCGGCCGAUAUCUGAUUAGCUAGUUGGUGGGGUAAAGGCCCACCAAGGCGACGAUCAGUAGCUGGUCUGAGAGGACGACCAGCCACACUGGAACUGAGACACGGUCCAGACUCCUACGGGAGGCAGCAGUGGGGAAUUUUGGACAAUGGGCGCAAGCCUGAUCCAGCCAUUCCGCGUGAGUGAAGAAGGCCUUCGGGUUGUAAAGCUCUUUCGCAAGGGAAGAAAACUUAGCCACUAACAUUGGCUGAGGUUGACGGUACCUUGAUAAGAAGCACCGGCUAACUACGUGCCAGCCGCCGCAGUAACAC
rnacentral:rRNA from 1 species